AGGAUGAACGCUGGCGGUCUGCUUAACACAUGCAAGUCGAACGGAGUAGCAAUACUUAGUGGCGGACGGGUGAGUAACGCGUGAGAAUCUACCUUCAGGACGGAGACAACAGUUGGAAACGACUGCUAACCCCCGAUGUACCGAAAGGGCAAAUAUUUAUAGCCUGAAGAAGAGCUCGCGUCCGAUUAGCUAGUUGGAGAGGUAAAAGCUCACCAAGGCGACGAUCAGUAGCUGGUCUGAGAGGAUGAUCAGCCACACUGGGACUGAGACACGGCCCAGACUCCUACGGGAGGCAGCAGUAGGGAAUCUUGCGCAAUGGGCGAAAGCCUGACGCAGCCAUGCCGCGUGAAUGAUGAAGGUCUUAGGAUUGUAAAAUUCUUUCAGCGGGACGAUAAUGACGGUACCCGCAGAAGAACGCCCGGCUAACUCGCGCCAGCAGCCGC
rnacentral:rRNA from 1 species